UUCUGUAAACACUUGAAACAUGUCCAAAAGCUUUACAGUGAUCACACUGCAUUGGUCUUGGAACAAAUGCUCUCUCUGUAGUUUGUAUAUCCCAAAUGCACUUGAGUAGGGAGAGAUUCCAAAAAUAACACUUUUUCUUCAUACACCCCACAAUUCAUCCGACAGGUAUCAAUCCCUCCAGGAAUAUUACUAAUCUCUGCAACAUCGACUUCCAGUGAAACGCCAGAUAUUACCCCCGUGAGGGGUGCCCUGUUCCGAAGAGACACACAGGACACAUCAAACUCGGCAAAUGGCACAAUCAAUAUCAACUGUCCCAGGAUGCACCACCACUAGCAGAGGGCCAGGAAAACCACCAAGCUGCCUGCAAGGCUGAAUAAUGUAUCAAUCCCUCCAGGAAUAUUACUAAUCUCUGCAACAUCGACUUCCAGUGAAACGCCAGAUAUUACCCCCGUGAGGGGUGCCCUGUUCCGAAGAGACACACAGGACACAUCAAACUCGGCAAAUGGCACAAUCAAUAUCAACUGUCCCAGGAUGCACCACCACUAGCAGAGGGCCAGGAAAACCACCAAGCUGCCUGCAAGGCUGAAUAAUGUAUCAAUCCCUCCAGGAAUAUUACUAAUCUCUGCAACAUCGACUUCCAGUGAAACGCCAGAUAUUACCCCCGUGAGGGGUGCCCUGUUCCGAAGAGACACACAGGACACAUCAAACUCGGCAAAUGGCACAAUCAAUAUCAACUGUCCCAGGAUGCACCACCACUAGCAGAGGGCCAGGAAAACCACCAAGCUGCCUGCAAGGCUGAAUAAUGUAUCAAUCCCUCCAGGAAUAUUACUAAUCUCUGCAACAUCGACUUCCAGUGAAACGCCAGAUAUUACCCCCGUGAGGGGUGCCCUGUUCCGAAGAGACACACAGGACACAUCAAACUCGGCAAAUGGCACAAUCAAUAUCAACUGUCCCAGGAUGCACCACCACUAGCAGAGGGCCAGGAAAACCACCAAGCUGCCUGCAAGGCUGAAUAAUGUAAGCAAAUGGCACAAUCAAUAUCAACUGUCCCAGGAUGCACCACCACUAGCAGAGGUCCAGGAAAACCACCAAGCUGCCUGCAAGGCUGAAUAAUAUGUACAAUUGAGAGCAUCCUGUUGGGCUGUAUCACCGCCUGGUACUGCAACUGGGCCGCCCACAACCGCUGGGUUCUCCAGAUGUCUCUGAAUGUCCUUGAGUGGCCCAGCCUGAGCCCGGACUUGCUCCCCAUUGAACAUCUCUGGAGAGACCUGAAUAUAGCUGUGUAGCGAUGCUCCCCAUUGAACCUGACAGAGCUUGACAGGAUCUGCAGAGAAUAAUGGAAGAAACUCCCCAAAUACAGGUUUGCCAAGCUUGUAGCAUCAUACCCAAGAAGACUCGAGGCUGUAAUCGCUGCUUAAGGUGCUUCAACAAAGUACUGAAUAAAGGGUCUGAAUACUUAUGUGAAUGUGAUAUUUCAGUUUUGUAUUUUUUAUACAUUUGAGUCUUUUGGCAAACUCCAAGCGGGCUGUCAUGUGCCUUUUACGGAGGAGUGGCUUCCGUCUGGCCACUCUACCAUAAAGGCCUAAUUGGGGGAGUGCUGCAGAGAUGGUUGUCCUUCUAGAAUGUUCUCCCAUCUCCACAGAGGAACUUUAGAGCUCGGUCAGAGUGACCAUCGGGUUCUUGAUCACCUCCCUGACCAAGGGCCUUCUCUCCCGAUUGCUCAGUUUGGACGAGCGGCCACUUCUAGGAAAAGUUUUGGUGGUUCCAAAUGUAUUCCAUUUCAGAAUGAUGGAAGCCACUGUGUUCUUGGGGACCUGCAAUUCUGCCGAAAUGUUUUGGUACCCUUCACCAGAUCAUGGCUUGGUUUUUGCUCUGACAUGCACUUUCAACUGUGGGACCUUAUAUAGACAGGUGUGUGCCUUUCCAAAUCAUGUCCAAUCAAUUGAAUUUACCACAGUUGGACUCCAAUCAAGUUGUAGAAACAUCUCAAGGAUGAUCAAUGGAAACAGGAUGCACCUGAGCUCAGUUCCGAGUCAAAUAGCAAAGGGUCUGAAUACUUACGUAAAUAAGGUGUUUGAGUUUUUAUUUUUAAUACAUUUGAAGAAAAUGACAAAAAACCUGUUUUUGCUUUGUCAUUAUGAGGUAUUUAUUGUGUGUAGAUUGCUGAGUUGUAAUUUAAAUCCAUUUUAGAAGAAGGCUGUAACACAACAAAAUGUGGAAAAAUUAAAGGGGUCUGAUUACUUUCCGUAGGCACUGUACAUGUAUAUACAAUACCAGUCAAACGUUUGUACACACCUACUCAUUCAAGAGUUUUUCGUUAUUUGACUAUUUUCUACAGUGUAAAAUAAUAAUGAAGACAUCAAAACUAUAAACUUACACAUAUGGAAUCAUGUAGUAAACAAAACAAGUGUUAAACAAAUCAAUACUUUGAUGACAGCUUUGCACACUCAUAGCAUUCUCUCAACCAGCUUCCCCUGGAAUGCAUUUCCAACAGUCUUGAAGGCGUUCCCACAUAUGUUGUGCACUUGUUGGCUGCUUUUCCUUCACUCUGCGGUCCAACUCAUCCCAAACCAUCUCAAUUGGGUUGAGGUCGGGUGAUUGUGGAUGCCAGGUCAUCUAAUGCAGCACUCCCUCACUCUCCUUCUUGGUCAAAUAGCCCUUACACAGCCUGGAGGUGUGUUUUGGGUCAUUGUCCUGUUGAAAAACAAAUGAUAGUCCCACUAAGUGCAAAAAAUAUGGGAUGGUGUAUCGCUGCAGAAUGCUGUGGUAGCCAUGUUGGUUCAGUGUGCCUUGAAUUCAAAAUAAAUCACAGACAGUGUCACCAGCAAAGCACCAUCACACCUCCUCCUCCAUGCUUCACAGUGGGAACCACACAUUCGGAAAUCAUCCGUUCACCUACUCUGCAUCUCACAGAGAUACGGGGGUUGGAACAGAUUUCCACUUGUCUAAUGUCCAUUGCUCGUAUAUCUUGGCCUAAGCAAGUCUCUUCUUAUUAUUGGUGUCCUUUAGUAGUGGUUUCUUUGCAACAAUUCGACCAUGAAGGCCUGAUUAACACAAUCUCCUCUGAACAGUUGAUGUUGAGACGUGUCUGUUACUUGAACUCUGUGAAGCAUUUAUUUGGGCUGCAAUUUCUGAGGCUGGUAACUCUAGCUCUGGGUUUUCCUUUCUGGGUUUUCCUUUCCUAUGGCGGUCCUCAUGAGAGCGAGUUUCAUCAUAUUGCUUGAUGGUUUUUGCAACUGCACUUGAAGAAACUUUCAAAGUUCUUUAAAAUUUUCAGAUUGACUGACCUUUAUGUCUUUAAGUAAUGAUAGACUGUCAUUUCUCUGUGCUUAUUUCUGUUUUUGCCAUGAUAUGGACUUGGUCUUUUACCAAAUAGGGAGAGCUAUCUUCUGUAUACGACCCCUAACUUGUCACACAACUGAUUGGCUCAAACGCAUUAAGAAGGAAAGAAAUUCCACAAAUGAACUUUUAACAAGGCACACAUGUUAAAUGAAAUGCAUUCCAGGUGACUACCCCAUGAAGCUGGUUGAGAGAAUGCCAAGAGUGUGCAAGCUGUCAUCAAGGCGAAGUGUGACUAAAAUAUAUUUGAUUUGUUUAACAUUUGUUUAACACUUUUUACUAUGUGUUAUUUCAUAGUUUUGAUGUCUUUACUAUUAUUCUACAUUGUAAAAAAUUGUAAAAAAUAAAGAAAAACCCUUGAAUGAGUCGGUGUGUCCAAACGUUUGACUGGUACUAUAUAUAUAUAUAUAUAUAUACAUAAAUUACUAUGCCCCUACCCCCUUCUCCCCUGUUUAGAAAACUUGGUGGAAAACAUUAAAAUUUAAUAUAUACUGUACAGUUGAAGUCAAAAAUGUACAUAAACCUUAGCCAAAUACAUUUAAAUUAAAUUCAGUUUUUCACAA